GACGAACGCUGGCGGCGUGCUUAACACAUGCAAGUCGAACGAAGAGCGAUGGAAGCUUGCUUCUAUCACUCUUAGUGGCGAACGGGUGAGUAACGCGUAAUCAACCUGCCCUUCAGAGGGGGACAACAGUUGGAAACGACUGCUAAUACCGCAUACGAUCUAAUCUCGGCAUCGAGGAUAGAUGAAAGGUGGCCUCUACAUGUAAGCUAUCACUGAAGGAGGGGAUUGCGUCUGAUUAGCUAGUUGGAGGGGUAACGGCCCACCAAGGCGAUGAUCAGUAGCCGGUCUGAGAGGAUGAACGGCCACAUUGGGACUGAGACACGGCCCAGACUCCUACGGGAGGCAGCAGUGGGGAAUCUUCCGCAAUAGACGAAAGUCUGACGGAGCAACGCCGCGUGAGUGAUGACGGCCUUCGGGUUGUAAAGCUCUGUUAAUCGGGACGAAAGGCCUUCUUGCGAAUAGUGAGAAGGAUUGACGGUACCGGAAUAGAAAGCCACGGCUAACUACGUG
rnacentral:rRNA from 1 species